rnacentral:rRNA from 1 species
CCCUUAGAUGUCCUGGGCUGCACGCGCGCUAAACUGAUGUGUCCAGUAAGCACCUAACCUAUUCCGAGAGGAGCGGGUAACCUUAGCAAAGCACAUCGUGAUGGGGAUAGAUUAUUGCAAUUAUUAGUCUUGAACGAGGAAUUCCUAGUAAGCACAAGUCAUCAGCUUGUGUUGAUUACGUCCCUGCCCUUUGUACACACCGCCCGUCGCUCCUACCGAUUGAAUGUUCCGGUGAGCUCUUCGGACUGCGCGGUCUGCAGUUUCUGCGUUCCGUGCGGAAAGUUGUGCAAACCUUAACAUUUAGAGGAAGGAGAAGUCGUAACA